CGGACGGGUGAGUAAUGUCUGGGAAACUGCCUGAUGGAGGGGGAUAACUACUGGAAACGGUAGCUAAUACCGCAUAAUGUCGCAAGACCAAAGAGGGGGACCUUCGGGCCUCUUGCCAUCGGAUGUGCCCAGAUGGGAUUAGCUUGUUGGUGGGGUAACGGCUCACCAAGGCGACGAUCCCUAGCUGGUCUGAGAGGAUGACCAGCCACACUGGAACUGAGACACGGUCCAGACUCCUACGGGAGGCAGCAUG
rnacentral:rRNA from 1 species